UUAAUUGAAACCAAAAUGAGGUAUUUUAUUGUUAAUAAAAAAAUUGAAUUUAAUAUUCCUAUUAAA
rnacentral:tRNA from 1 species